rnacentral:lncRNA from 1 species
UGGCAUCUAACCAUAGUGAGGUUAAACUUUUAACAGAGCUACCAUGAGGAUCCUCCUCAACCAACAUGAGAUCUGGUGCUGCAGGAGAAUCUUGGCCAGCAAAAAGUUAUGCAGGGGCUAUGCAACAUGCGGAUCCCACAAGAAAUAUUUGCUAUUUAUAGAACUCGUUUGAUUGACGAGAAGUGCAGAGGAAAAGAGGUAAUUUUUGGAAAGUCGAAAGGGUGCCUCUUGUUUGAUUGAAAUUUUAAGAGAAA